CAUAGCGACUAUCGUGGCAUAUCAAUAAGCGGAGGAAAAGAAACUAACUAGGAUUCCCUUAGUAACGGCGAGUGAAGCGGGAAGAGCUCAAAUUUGAAAUCUUCAAGGUUUUACCUUGACGAAUUGUAGUUUAUAGAAGUGUUUUCUGUUAGUAGAGUUCGGUAAAAGUUCUUUGGAAUAGGACAUCAUAGAGGGUGAGAAUCCCGUAUUUGACCGUUAUUUUCUAGCUGUGUGAUACACUUUCAAAGAGUCGGAUUGUUUGGGAAUGCAGUCCAAAAUGGGUGAUAAAUUUCAUCUAAAGCUAAAUAUUGGCGAGAGACCGAUAGCGAACAAGUACCGUGAGGGAAAGAUGAAAAGAACUUUGAAAAGAGAGUUAAACAGUACGUGAAAUUGUCAAAAGGGAAGCGUUUGACACCAGUGUUGUUUUUCCGAAAAUCAAUUACGAAUGUUUUAGUUUUUGAGAAGUUAUGACUUCAUCGGCUUGCUCCUUUCUUUAUGAAACUUUCUUAAUGCACUUUUCGGUUAACAAGUCAACAUCAAUUUCUUUUGUUGUAAAAGGGUAUGAGGAAGGUGGCUUUCUUUUCGGAGAAAGUGUUUAUAGCCUUGUGCCUCUGCAAUCGGAGAGAUUGAGGUCUGCAGCGUAGAUCCUUCGGGGUUAGAUACAUUUGUGCUAAGUUAUAGCUUUCAUAGACAACUUGUUGACUAUGAUUAGUCAUUGUAGCUUACUCGCUGACUGCUAUUUUACCUACGCUUAGGAUGUUGACGAGACUGUCGAUCUC
rnacentral:rRNA from 1 species